GACGAACGCUGGCGGCGUGCUUAACACAUGCAAGUCGAACGGAAAGGCCCUGCUUUUGCGGGGUGCCCGAGUGGCGCACGGGUGUGUAACACGUGAGUAACCUGCCCUUGACUUUGGGAUAACUUCAGGCAACUGCGGCUAAUACCGGCUAGGAGCUCCUGCUGCAUGGUGGGGGUUGGAAAGUUUCGGCGGAUGGGGAUGGACUCGCGGCUUAUCAGCUGGUUGGUUGGGUACUUGCUUACCCAGCCUUCGACGGCUAGCCGGCCUGAGUGGGGGACCGGCCACAAUAGGACUGAGGGACGGCCCAGACGCCUACGGGGGGCAGCAGUGGGGAAUAUUGCACAAUGGGCGCAAGCGUGAUGCAGCAACGCCGCGAUCGUGAAGACGGCCUUCGUGUUGUAAACCGCUUUCGCCUGUGACGAAGCGUGAGUGACGUUAAUGGGUAAAGAAGCACCGGCUAACUACGUG
rnacentral:rRNA from 1 species